AUGCCGCCCUUGAGCCUGCUGUGGGUAUUCCUGGCCUUCAGCUACUCUGGAUCCACUGUGGCCCAGAAAGUUACUCAAUACCAGGCAACCACAUCCAUGACAGAGGGACAGGCGGUCACCCUGAACUGCCAGUAUGAAACAAGCUCCACUACAUAUUUUAUUUGCUGGUACAAGCAACUUCCCAGCAAAGAGAUGAUUUUCCUUCUUCGCCAGGGUUCUACUAGUCAGAACGCAAAGGAUGGUCGCUAUUCUGUCAACUUCCGGAAAGAAGCUAAGUCCAUCAACCUGACCAUUUCAGCCUUACGGCUGGAAGAUUCAGCAAAGUAUUUCUGUGCUCUCUGGGACUCACAGUGUUUGAAGUGA